rnacentral:rRNA from 1 species
UACGUAGGGGGCGAGCGUUGUCCGGAAUCAUUGGGCGUAAAGAGCUCGUAGGCGGCCGUUCGCGUCGGAUGUGAAAGCUCAGGGCUCAACUCUGAGAUGCCAUUCGAUACGGGACGGCUAGAGGUAGGUAGGGGAGAGUGGAAUUCCUGGUGUAGCGGUGAAAUGCGCAGAUAUCAGGAGGAACACCGGUGGCGAAGGCGGCUCUCUGGGCCUUACCUGACGCUGAGGAGCGAAAGCUGGGGGAGCGAACAGG